rnacentral:rRNA from 1 species
UACGAGUGCCCCAAGCGUUAUCCGGAAUUAUUGGGCGUAAAGGGUGUGUAGGUGGUCUAGUUAGUCUCAUGUCAAAUUCUUCGGCUUAACCGGGGUACCGCAUGGGAUACGGCUAGACUAGAGGAUGCGAGGGGGUGAAUGGAACUCAUGGAGUAGGGGUGAAAUCCGUUGAUAUUAUGGGGGAACACCAAAAGCGAAGGCAGUUCACUGGCGCACUCCUGACACUGAAACACGAAAAGCGUGGGUAGCGAAUGGG